rnacentral:rRNA from 1 species
AGAGUUUGAUCCUGGCUCAGGAUGAACGCUAGCGGCAGGCUUAACACAUGCAAGUCGAGGGGUAUAAGUCUUCGGAUUUAGAGACCGGCGCACGGGUGCGUAACGCGUAUGCAAUCUACCUUUUACAGAGGGAUAGCCCAGAGAAAUUUGGAUUAAUACCUCAUAGUAUAUAGAGUUGGCAUCAACACUAUAUUAAAGUCACAACGGUAAAAGAUGAGCAUGCGUCCCAUUAGCUUGUUGGUAAGGUAACGGCUUACCAAGGCUACGAUGGGUAGGGGUCCUGAGAGGGAGAUCCCCCACACUGGUACUGAGACACGGACCAGACUCCUACGGGAGGCAGCAGUGAGGAAUAUUGGUCAAUGGACGCAAGUCUGAACCAGCCAUGCCGCGUGCAGGAUGACGGUCCUAUGGAUUGUAAACUGCUUUUGCAUAGGAAGAAACAACUCUACGUGUAGAGUCUUGACGGUACUGUGAGAAUAAGGAUCGGCUAACUCCGUGCCAGCAGCCGCGGUAAUACGGAGGAUCCAAGCGUUAUCCGGAAUCAUUGGGUUUAAAGGGUCCGUAGGCGGUUUAGUAAGUCAGUGGUGAAAGCCCAUCGCUCAACGGUGGAACGGCCAUUGAUACUGCUAAACUUGAAUUAUUAGGAAGUAACUAGAAUAUGUAGUGUAGCGGUGAAAUGCUUAGAGAUUACAUGGAAUACCAAUUGCGAAGGCAGGUUACUACUAAUGGAUUGACGCUGAUGGACGAAAGCGUGGGUAGCGAACAGGAUUAGAUACCCUGGUAGUCCACGCCGUAAACGAUGGAUACUAGCUGUUGGAAGCAAUUUCAGUGGCUAAGCGAAAGUGAUAAGUAUCCCACCUGGGGAGUACGUUCGCAAGAAUGAAACUCAAAGGAAUUGACGGGGGCCCGCACAAGCGGUGGAGCAUGUGGUUUAAUUCGAUGAUACGCGAGGAACCUUACCAAGGCUUAAAUGUAGAUUGACCGGUUUGGAAACAGACUUUUCGCAAGACAAUUUACAAGGUGCUGCAUGGUUGUCGUCAGCUCGUGCCGUGAGGUGUCAGGUUAAGUCCUAUAACGAGCGCAACCCCUGUUGUUAGUUGCCAGCGAGUCAUGUCGGGAACUCUAACAAGACUGCCAGUGUAAACUGUGAGGAAGGUGGGGAUGACGUCAAAUCAUCACGGCCCUUACGCCUUGGGCUACACACGUGCUACAAUGGCCGGUACAGAGAGCAGCCACUGGGCGACCAGGAGCGAAUCUACAAAACCGGUCACAGUUCGGAUCGGAGUCUGCAACUCGACUCCGUGAAGCUGGAAUCGCUAGUAAUCGGAUAUCAGCCAUGAUCCGGUGAAUACGUUCCCGGGCCUUGUACACACCGCCCGUCAAGCCAUGGAAGCUGGGGGUGCCUGAAGUCGGUGACCGCAAGGAGCUGCCUAGGGUAAAACUGGUAACUAGGGCUAAGUCGGAACAAGGUAGCCGUACCGGGAGGUGCGGCUG